UUUCAGCCAGUGCCCAAGCACCAGAAACACAGGGACUGGAGCUUUGUUUUGUGAAUCUGUUCCAUUUUCUGCUUUGCGGCACCAAAGAGCACCCACGUGGCUGCCGCUCCAGAGAGUGGUGUGUGACUGCCGGGUUCAAACCAAUUCAGGUCAGGUUCUGAAGUUGAACUGGAGCAGCAAAAGGAAAAGCAGAAAAGUGGGGGAAUGCACAAAGGACUGCAGAAGUCCUGGAAGCACGGCAGCUUGCAUCCGCUCCACUUCCUAUCCCCUCUCCUCUCAAGGUGAGCAUUUUCAUGGAGUACAGAGCAGCAGCUGUGAUGUAACUUUGUGCUCCAGGGACCACAGCUGCUGUCUGAACCUUUCAGCGCAGAGGAGCUGAGCUCCCAACACUCUGCACGUAACUCUGCUUUGUUCUAUUCAUUUAACUCAAACGUUUUCUUUAAGAGAAUAAACUGUACAGGUUUAAAUUGUAACAGAAGAUAAGAAAUGUUUUAAGAUGAUAGUCAGUAUCUUUUGUUAAACAUGGGGUAAGUCUUGCCCAAAGGAUUUGGUCAUUGCUGGAUUAACCUGAACACUAGAGGUCUGAGCAGCACAAAAUUCUAAUCUGCUCUGCAUGAGACAGCAAGAUAAAAAGGAAAGUGGGUUUUUUUGGGGUGUUUAUUCAUUUGGCUUUGCCAAGAAACCUCAGAGACUUAAUCAGCCUCCUAAGAAAAGCCAUAAAUCCAGCUAGCACACAGUGGUAAGGGGAAGAGAUGCUCUAAGACCUAUGUGUAAGCACAAUUGCACCUGAGAAACUCCCUGGUGUCACACUGCAAAGGUUUCCUGAAGUCCCCAGUG